GCAUAUCAAUAAGCGGAGGAAAAGAAACCAACCGGGAUUGCCUCAGUAACGGCGAGUGAAGCGGCAAGAGCUCAAAUUUGAAAGCUGGCCCCUCCGGGGUCCGCAUUGUAAUUUGCAGAGGAUGCUUCGGGUGCAGCCCCCGUCUAAGUGCCCUGGAAUGGGCCGUCAGAGAGGGUGAGAAUCCCGUCUGGGAUGGGGUGCCUGUGCCCGUGUGAAGCUCCUUCGACGAGUCGAGUUGUUUGGGAAUGCAGCUCUAAAUGGGUGGUAAAUUUCAUCUAAAGCUAAAUAUUGGCCGGAGACCGAUAGCGCACAAGUAGAGUGAUCGAAAGAUGAAAAGCACUUUGAAAAGAGAGUUAAACAGCACGUGAAAUUGUUGAAAGGGAAGCGCUUGCGACCAGACUCGCCUCCGGGGUUCAGCCGGCAUUCGUGCCGGUGUACUUCCCCGGGGGCGGGCCAGCGUCGGUUUGGGCGGCCGGUCAAAGGCCUCCGGAAUGUAGCGCCCUUCGGGGCGCCUUAUAGCCGGGGGUGCAAUGCGGCCAGCCUGGACCGAGGAACGCGCUUCGGCUCGGACGCUGGCAUAAUGGUCGUAAACGACCCGUCUUGAAACACGGACC
rnacentral:rRNA from 1 species